rnacentral:rRNA from 1 species
CUACGGGAGGCACCAGUGAGGAAUAUUGGUCAAUGGACGCGAGUCUGAACCAGCCAAGUAGCGUGAAGGAUGACCGCCCUAUGGGUUGUAAACUUCUUUUAUAAAGGAAUAAAGUUGGCCACGCGUGGCCGUUUGCAUGUACUUUAUGAAUAAGGAUCGGCUAACUCCGUGCCAGCAGGCCGCGGUAAUACGGAGGAUCCGAGCGUUAUCCGGAUUUAUUGGGUUUAAAGGGAGCGUAGAUGGGAGUUUAAGUCAGCUGUGAAAGUUCGGGGCUCAACCCCGGAAUUGCAUUUGAUACUGGACUUCUUGAGUGCGGUUGAGGCAGGCGGAAUUCGUGGUGUAGCGGUGAAAUGCGUAGAUAUCACGAAGAACCCCGAUUGCGAAGGCAGCCUGCUAAGCCGUAACUGACAUUGAGGCUCGAAAGUGUGGGUAUCAAACAGGAUUAGAUACCCGUGUAGUC